rnacentral:tRNA from 1 species
UUCAAGCCCCUCUAUCCCCA